rnacentral:rRNA from 1 species
UACAGAGGGUGCAAGCGUUGUUCGGAAUUAUUGGGCGUAAAGGGCGCGUAGGCGGUUUGUUAAGUCAGCUGUGAAAGCCCGGGGCUCAACCCCGGAGGGUCAGCUGAUACUGGCAGGCUAGAGUACAGAAGAGGUAACUGGAAUUCCCGGUGUAGCGGUGAAAUGCGUAGAUAUCGGGAGGGACACCUGAGGCGAAGGCGGGUUACUGGGCUGAUACUGACGCUGAUGCGCGAAAGCCAGGGGAGCAAACGGG